GUGUCACUCCAUUUUUUAACAUGAUUGCACAUUCAUCCUUCUUCAAUUCACUGUGACUGCGAAAGGCUACUGAUUUUGAAGGAUUCACACUGCAAGCACAUUCGUCCAGCGCGCUCUACCACUCACACUCAACCACAAUCACGAUCACGUAAUAAAACGCUCCUUCCUCACCUUCAUACUCAUUUUCACUAUCUCACACUCCCUUUCACUGUUUCAAGCUUCUAGGUUGAACACUCUUCUCAGUAAAGGGAUCAGGGUUUACCAGAUUGAAGGUUAAAGAAGCGUGAAACAUCAGGUCCAUUUCUGAGGUGACUUUGGAGCUUGUGUGGGGUUUUGUUUGGGUCCUUUCCAAUCCUUCUUCAACUGGCUGAGCUAGAGGUAUUGGAGGAAGUUGAACUUGAGCUUUUGGAAAGGUUAUUCUUAUUUUAUGAUUACUUGUUAUGAAGUUUAGUUUAGUCC